GUGAGGAAUAUUGCGCAAUGGGGGCAACCCUGACGCAGCAACGCCGCGUGGGUGAAGAAGGCUUUCGGGUUGUAAAGCCCUGUCAGGUGGGAAGAAACCUCUUGAGGUGAAUAGUCUCGAGAGCUGACGGUACCACCAGAGGAAGCACCGGCUAACUCCGUGCCAGCAGCCGCGGUAAGACGGAGGGUGCUAGCGUUGUUCGGAAUCACUGGGCGUAAAGCGCGUGUAGGCGGUUGAAUAAGUCGGAUGUGAAAGCCCGGAGCUCAACUCCGGAAGUGCAUUCGAAACUGUUCGGCUCGAGUACGGGAGAGGGAAGUGGAAUUCCUGGUGUAGAGGUGAAAUUCGUAGAUAUCAGGAGGAACACCGGUGGCGAAGGCGGCUUCCUGGACCGAUACUGACGCUGAGACGCGAAAGCGUGGGGAGCAAACAGGAUUAGAAACCCUAGUAGUCC
rnacentral:rRNA from 1 species